rnacentral:rRNA from 1 species
UGGGGAAUAUUGGACAAUGGGCGCAAGCCUGAUCCAGCCAUGCCGCGUGAGUGAUGAAGGCCCUAGGGUUGUAAAGCUCUUUCACCGGUGAAGAUAAUGACGGUAACCGGAGAAGAAGCCCCGGCUAACUUCGUGCCAGCAGCCGCGGUAAAACGAAGGGGGCUAGCGUUGUUCGGAUUUACUGGGCGUAAAGCGCACGUAGGCGGACUUUUAAGUCAGGGGUGAAAUCCCGGGGCUCAACCCCGGAACUGCCUUUGAUACUGGAAGUCUUGAGUAUGGUAGAGGUGAGUGGAAUUCCGGGUGUAGAGGUGAAAUUCGUAGAUAUUCGGAGGAACACCAGUGGCGAAGGCGGCUCACUGGACCAUUACUGACGCUGAGGUGCGAAAGCGUGGGGAGCAAACAGG